UAGUACCCUCAAGCAAAGCGAUCUUUAGUUUGAUACCCCGAAACCAGGUGAGCUACCCCGAGACAGCCUAAAAUUAGGGCGAACCCGUCUCUGUGGCAAAAGAGUGGGAGGAGCUCCGGGUAGAAGUGACAGACCUACCGAACCUGGUGAUAGCUGGUUGCCUAAGAAAUGAAUAGAAGUUCAGCCUCGCACACCCUUAAUCAAGAAGCACAUCAUCAAGAAAUUUAUGGUAACGUACGAGAGUUAGUUAAAGGGGGUACAGCCCCUUUAACAAAGGAUACAACCUUAACAGGAGGAUAAAGAUCAUAAUAAAUAAGAUAUACUGUUCUAGUGG
rnacentral:rRNA from 1 species